rnacentral:rRNA from 1 species
CCUACGGGUGGCAGCAGUGGGGAAUAUUGGACAAUGGGCGAAAGCCUGAUCCAGCCAUGCCGCGUGUGUGAAGAAGGCCUUCGGGUUGUAAAGCACUUUCAGUGGGGAAGAAAGCCUUGGGGCUAAUACCCUCGAGGAAGGACAUCACCCACAGAAGAAGCACCGGCUAACUCCGUGCCAGCAGCCGCGGUAAUACGGAGGGUGCGAGCGUUAAUCGGAAUUACUGGGCGUAAAGCGCGCGUAGGCGGUCUGAUAAGCCGGUUGUGAAAGCCCCGGGCUCAACCUGGGAACGGCAUCCGGAACUGUCAGGCUAGAGUGCAGGAGAGGAAGGUAGAAUUCCCGGUGCAGCGGUGAAAUGCGUAGAGAUCGGGAGGAAUACCAGUGGCGAAGGCGGCCUUCUGGACUGACACUGACGCUGAGGUGCGAAAGCGUGGGUAGCAAACAGGAUUAGAUACCCCGGUAGUC